UGAAAAGAGAAACAUGUGUAUCUUUUAAGAGAAGAAUGUACAAAGGCCAAACCUACCCGAGGAGAGCCCUUUAUUAGAAAGUGCAACAGACAACAGGUCAUUGCAACCAGAUAGACAAUGCUGACCGCCGGGCUGGAAGGCAGUUCUGUAGAUCCUCCACUUACACGGUCUCUACUUCCUGCAGACAUUUAAAAGUAUUUAAUUUGGUAACGAUAGUAUUCAGACUCUAUAUUUGCGUGCAACUCUAAAAAGGCAUUUUUGUUAUCAAGGCGUUUUCAUAUAUUUUAUUUAUUUUAAUUAUGAAUGAAAUGGCGGGGUUAAUGAGUGCAAGAAUCGGGUUUUGAUUCUUUUAUGGAUUUGGAGACAAACUGCCCUCCUCUCCACAUUCCUUUCUGCCCUUUUCAAAGCUUCAGAAAACCUAAAGUUAUGUACCAAUUCAUUCGGAUUCCUAAUGAAUCCUUCAAUUACAAGGUGGUAGACUAGAAAGGAAAACUCUCAGAAACACAGCAUAACGGAAAUAAAACAGCCAGUAGGAAGCUGCUCUCCUACACGGAGGAAUGGGACAGUCCUUGGGAAAAGAUCUGUGAGUCACAGACAGCUUGGAGGACGUGCGGGCUGUGUCUUUGCCUUUCGGCUAAAAACAAUGCCCAACGUUCUUUUAGAUGAGUAUUUUGGAUCUCAAAAUUCCCUAAAGGUACUUUGAGCCAUAUCUCUCUCUCCUUUAAAGGGGGGAUGAGGGGAGAAGAGGGAUCAGGGUUUAGGGAGAUCUCCCUGUCCUACCUCCUCCUGCCCUGCUUGCCAAAGGCAGGGAGCAGGAUCAUUGAUUCCUCGACAGUACCUACCCGGUUGCCCAGCGACCCAAAGGGAAACGUAAUAGUGGAUAAGGGGACCAGUCCCAUGCCUCAGCUGGGAACCCAAGACAGAAGAGAGGCUUGGGAAGCGGGGCGCGCCCGGGAGAUCCCCAUGUGCACCUGAGCCUCAAGCUUGCAAAGCUGAAGCUGCAGUAAACAGCAGAUUGCCGUGGUGACAUCGUCCAGGGUCAAGGAGCUUCUUGGCCAAGAUGCACUACUUCCCAGAGUCCGGAGAGCCUCCGCGGGGAGGGUGGACGCAUUAUUUCCGUGGCCCUGGGGCUAGAGCUGUAGGAGCAGUGUGACCUUGGGGCAUGUGGGGAUACUGUUCCUGGUACAUUGAGAAGAGCUGCGCUGCCUGCCUGCCUGGGGCUGGGAGCAAUGUAAGUUGGCGCUGCCCCCUCCUGGGUGAUCCUGGAAAUUCUGAGGGGGAAGGAGGCACUUUUUUUCCCCUGUACACCGCACACAUUCUUCUCUAGGCACUCAGAAAGAUUCAUUUUUUGGCAUUUGAAUCCAGCAGAAUUUCACACAAUGUCUUCUUUUUUAAAAUUACUUUGUUGAAAACCCUACCCACUUUGGGUAAUUCUUGCCGCCUCCUUCAGUUUGACCCUCGCCUAUAUUUUCGUCAA